UGGGGAAUAUUGGACAAUGGGGGCAACCCUGAUCCAGCCAUGCCGCGUGAGUGAUGAAGGCCUUCGGGUUGUAAAGCUCUUUUGGCGGGGACGAUGAUGACGGUACCCGCAGAAUAAGCCCCGGCUAACUUCGUGCCAGCAGCCGCGGUAAGACGAAGGGGGCUAGCGUUGUUCGGAAUUACUGGGCGUAAAGCGAGUGUAGGCGGUUGCCGUAGUCAGGUGUGAAAGCCUUGAGCUCAACUCAAGAAAUGCACUUGAUACUGGGUGACUAGAGGACCGGAGAGGAUAGUGGAAUUCCCAGUGUAGUGGUGAAAUACGUAGAGAUUGGGAAGAACACCAGUGGCGAAGGCGGCUAUCUGGACGGUUACUGACGCUAAGACUCGAAAGCGUGGGGAGCAAACAGGAUUAGAUACCCUGGUAGUCCACGCCGUAAACGAUGGGUGCUAGACGUUGGCGAGCUUG
rnacentral:rRNA from 1 species